rnacentral:other from 1 species
AGCUCGCUGCAGUGUUCGCCCGGUUCAUCAUUCUUGUUCCGAUAAUUUGUCACUCAGGAUGCUUGCCCAGUUCGCCGGUGUGCGCGUCCCACGCGGAUGUACCUGAAGGCGAUCGGUGAGUAACCGCCUUGGACCCUUGGGUUCAAGAGUGCGAUCCGGGCGAACACUGGAGCGAUUUU